rnacentral:lncRNA from 1 species
ACCUGCCUGAGACACAAAGAAAGAAGUUGGGUGGAAUGUUUGUUUUUCUGGAACAGCUUAAUACUCCCUGAAAGGGUCGGAUUUCUAGCGUAUAUCCAGAAGAAUGGCUCUUCAGAGGCUGAACUCUGCAACCCUUAAAGGCAAUGGCUAUGUUAAGCAGCCCCUAAGGAUGGCGAGAGAUCACCUUCGUUUUAAAAGCACCUCUACAGAGAAUGUCAAAGCAAGCUAAAGGGAAGCAGCUGUUACUGUUCUCCCCCUGUUGUAGGGUGCAUCUAGCCCCACGGUAAGCCAGAACUGCCUGAC